AACGCCGCGUGAGGGAGGAUGUCUUUGGAUUGUAAACCUCUUUUCUCAAGGAAGAUAAUGACGGAACUUGAGGAAUCAGCAUCGGCUAACUCCGUGCCAGCAGCCGCGGUAAUACGGGGGAUGCAAGCGUUAUCCGGAAUUAUUGGGCGUAAAGCGUCCGUAGGCGGCUAUCCAAGUCUGCUGUUAAAGAGUGCAGCUUAACUGCAUAGAGGCGGUGGAAACUGGAUAGCUUGAGUAUGGUAGGGGUAGAGGGAAUUCCCGGUGUAGCGGUGAAAUGCGUAGAUAUCGGGAAGAACACCAGUGGCGAAGGCGCUCUACUGGGCCAUAACUGACGCUGAUG
rnacentral:rRNA from 1 species